rnacentral:tRNA from 1 species
GCCUGGGUGGCUCAGUCGGUUGAGCGUCUGACUUCAGGUCAGGUCAUGAGUUCGUGAGUUCGAGCCCCACAUCAGGCU